rnacentral:rRNA from 1 species
AUGCGGCAGCAGGAGGACCGGGCGCUCCUCCCGACGACGACGGCCGCCGGCGGCCCGGACGCCGCGGCGGCGUCCGGGCCUUCGGGGCGGCUGCGGACGGCGGGGCUGGUGGCGGCGUGGUACGCGUCCAACAUCGGGGUGCUGCUGCUCAACAAGUACCUCCUCUCCGUCUACGGCUUCCGCUACCCGGUCUUCCUCACCGCCUGCCACAUGUCCGCCUCGGCGCUCCUCUCCUCCGCCUUCGCCGCCGCCACCUCCUCCUCGUCCCCGCGCCGGCCGCUCUCGCGCGGGCAGGCGGCCAGGGUGGCCGUGCUGGGCGCCGUCUUCUGCGGCUCCGUCGUCGCCGGCAACGUCUCGCUGCGCUACCUCCCCGUGUCAUUCAACCAGGCCGUCGGCGCCACCACGCCCUUCUUCACCGCGCUCAUCGCCUACGCCGUCGCGGGGCGGCGCGAGGCCCGUGCCACCUACGCCGCCCUCCUCCCCGUCGUCGCCGGCGUCGUCAUCGCCACCGGGGGCGAGCCGAGCUUCCAUCUGUUCGGGUUCAUCAUGUGCGUGGGCGCGACGGCGGGGAGGGCGCUCAAGACCGUGCUGCAGGGGAUCCUGCUCUCCUCAGAAGAGGAGAAGCUCAACUCCAUGGACCUGCUCUGGUACAUGGCGCCGGUGGCCGUGGUGCUGCUGGUGCCGGCGACGCUGAUGAUGGAGCCGGACGCGCUCGGCACGGCGGCGGCGCUCGCCAGGGAGGACCCCAGCUUCGUCUGGUUGCUGCUCGGCAACUCCUCGCUGGCCUACCUGGUGAACUUGACCAAUUUCCUGGUCACCAAGCACACCAGCCCGCUCACCCUCCAGGUCCUCGGGAACGCGAAAGGGGCGGUCGCCGUCGUCGUCUCCAUCCUGAUAUUCAAGAACCCGGUGACCGUCAUGGGGAUGCUGGGCUACGGGGUGACCAUCGCCGGCGUGGUUCUGUACGGCGAGGCCAAGAAGAGGAGCAAGUGA